AGUAUAAAUAGAGGAGCAUCUUUCAGAUAAAUCAGUUUAUCUGGAGUAUUCGUAUUAAACAGUUCAAGAUGAACGCUAAUAUCCUCAUUUACUUGGUACUCGCUAUAAUUGUGAUGUCCAACGUUAUAUUUGUAGCAGGAGAACCUGCUCCAACCGACUGCGAUGAAGACAGCUGCGGCCCAUUGAUCGAUGUCGAUUCACUCGUCGAUGUCUUGUAGUCAAUUUUCCAAAAGAAACAUAACAAUGUUUAAUUUCUUUGUUAUGGAAACAAUUAUAAAAAUAUCUUUCGGUUUA